UGUCUGUUAGUGUGUGUCUGUUAGUGAGUGUGAGUGUGUCUGUUAGUGUGUGUGUGUGUGUGUCUGUUAGUGUGUAAGUGUGUGUGUCUGUUAGUGUGUGUCUGUUAGUGAGUGUGAGUGUGUCUGUUAGUGUGUGUGUGUGUCUGAUAGUGAGUGAGUGUGUGUCUGUUAGUGAGUGUGUCUGUUAGUGUGUGUGUGUCUGUGUUAGUGAGUGUGUGUUUCUGUUAGCUAGUGUAUGCAUAUCUGUCAGUGAAUGUGUGUGUGUGU